UAGGAAUAUUGGACAAUGGGGGAAACCCUGAUCCAGCCAUGCCGCGUGUGUGACGAAGGCCUUAGGGUUGUAAAGCACUUCCGUCUGUGAAGAUAAUGACAGUAGCAGAAGAAGAAGCUCCGGCUAAAUUCGUGCCAGCAGCCGCGGUAAUACGAAUGGAGCGAGCGUUGUUCGGAAUCACUGGGCGUAAAGGGUGCGCAGGCGGUCAUGAAAGUUAGAAGUGAAAUCCCAGGGCUUAACCCUGGAAUGGCUUUUAAAACUCCAUGACUAGAGUACUGGAGGGGUUAGCGGAAUUCCGAGUGUAGAGGUGAAAUUCGCAGAUAUUCGGAGGAACACCAAUGGCGAAGGCAGCUAGCUGGACAGUAACUGACGCUCAUGCACGAAAGCGUGGGGAUCAAAC
rnacentral:rRNA from 1 species